rnacentral:tRNA from 1 species
GGCGGGGUGGCAGAGUGGUGAUGCCACGGUCUGCAAAGCCGUGCACGACGGUUCGAUUCCGUUCCCCCGCCUCCA